rnacentral:tRNA from 1 species
GCAGUGGUGAUUCAGUGGUAGAAUUCUCUCCUCCCACGCAGGAAACCCGGGUUCAAUUCCCGGCCAAUGCA